rnacentral:rRNA from 1 species
AUGCAUAUGCAUCCGCCAGGGUACUACAAGCACUAGCUUAAAACCCAAAGGUGUUGGCGGUAACUCAAACCCACCUAGAGGAGCCUGUCCUAUAAUCGAUAAACCCCGCUAAACCUUACNUCCCCUUGCCAAAACCGCCUAUAUACCACCGUCGUCAGCUUACCUCUUAAGAAGAAUGAUAGCGAGCCCAAUGAGUAAAACUCAAAACGUCAGGUCAAGGUGUAGCGUAUGAGGAGGAAUGAGAUGGGCUACAUUUUCUGAACCAGAAAACUACGAAUAGUAUAAUAAAUAAAUACAUAACAGAAGGUGGAUUUAACAGUAAAAGAGGAA